UCUAAAUCCCUUAGAUGAUACUCCUUACGGUUAUUUCUUGGUGGUGAGACUCCAGCGUUCCCUCCCUUCUUCUAUUCUAUUCUAUUUUCUUCUGCAAAUGAAGACUUUAUCAGUUUGUAGCCAUUUGAGGAGAGGUGGUUAUCAUCGCAGUGGUACAUGUGCUUGAAUAUUGAAUUAGGUUCUAUUUCAUUAAGUUUGUUACAUGAUUACGUCAUUUGUCUCCAUAUAGUCCAAAAGGAUAAAGAAGUAAGACAGGGACUUUUUGGAUAAAAUAGGAGCUGGGUGGAUGAGAUUGAGAUGUCUCCUGCAUGACCAUCAAAUACCACGAAAUUCAUAUGCUCUUUUGAAAGAGCUAGCAAUCAAUUCAUACCUCUCUCUCUCUCCAUCUCAAUUACUCUCUCUCUCUCUCUCUCUCUCUCUCUCUCUCUCUCUCUCUCUCAAUUACCUGCUUCUACUAACUGCUUGUGCUUCUAUGCUGGCAGACUAUUUGAUGGAAAUCAACUAACUGGGGAGAUCCCAUCCACACUAGGGCUUGUGCAAACUCUAGAGGUUCUGAGGCAAAGGGAAACCAGACGACUCUCCCGCCAACUGCACUCUUCAUCAUCAGAUUCCAUUCCUUAUGUCCUGUUAUUGGCAUGGGAAUCUACAAACUAGUGGAGUGCGGAAUGCCAGCAACAUCAAUGGUGGAUCAGUUCUGUUCGGUUUCCACCGUUUCAGUAGGCCAGGUUGGCCCUUCUGUCAGAAUUUCUGCCAGUGCUGAGUUGUGGGUGGCCUGCUACAUCCUUGAGGUAUCUGCCAGUGAUGAAUUCCUGCAGAGAUUGUUGGAGUUGUUCUUUCAUUUGAUCCAAAACCGAUCCAGGAUGCCCUUGAACUAGAAUCACACUGAUUUGGAGAUGAUGAGGAGAUUUACAUAGACCAGGUUGACAAGCUCCUUGAAGAAGAAGUUAAAAGGAUUGAAGAAGAAGUUAAAGGAUAGAAUGACUGAUUUUCAGGAAAAAUUCCCAAGAUGAAUAUCGUGAGGUCAUUGAGAGACGGGUGUUUACAGGUUCUAUUACUUCAGCAAACUAUCAGAAAAUGGAUAGUUUUUUUUUUUUUUCAUUAUUAUUUUUUUCUAUUCUUUCCUUUCCUGUUGAUGAUUUUAAAUGUUUGGUUCAAGCUGUUACGGGGACCAAACCAGAUGAAAAGGUAGGCUGGAGUGUUAAUUUUGAAAAUUGUGAGUUGUACUGAAAUGAGUGUGUUGUGAUUUCCUUCCAUCUUGUUGAUGAUUGUCGCAUCCUGUUUAGAUGAUUGAUCUCUUGAUAGAGACUGGAAACAGCGAGCAAAUCUUCCACAAGGCAAUUCAGGAAAUGGGGCGAGGACAGGUGAAGCUCCUGCUUUGAAUUGUGCUUCAUACUAGUUGAUGUGAAGAGUUGGCAGUUCAUUGUAGAAGUCAAGCCUCAGGCAUCAAUGUUUCAUUUAUGCUUAUUCGGACAAGAGUUGCAUCAAGUAAGAGAGAAUCACGAUCUCCAACAAGCACAAGUGCAGACCUUAAAGGAGCAUACCUUAAAGGCUGAAAUAGAUACACCGAAUAUACUGGAAAAUCCUCUAUAGAGUUGGAAAAGUUUUGACUACAAAAACAAAUUUACUUUGAGGUGAUUCCUUAUAAUGAGAUGGAACAGGACGCACGAUAGGAAUUUUUAAUUGACUGAUUGGUGAUCAAUGAACCAUAGGCCCCAUGUGUGAGCUUAGAAACAGGAGGCACGAUCCAAUCUCUUAACCCAAGCAUGACAAGUUAUGGAAGCAUAUAUCUAAACCAUUCAAAUUGUGGGUCCAAUUGUGAAUGAAGCAUAUAUCUAAAAUCACCAUGAUCUAUCAAUUGGUGGUCACUGAUAGCAGGAAGGCUUCCACGGAGGAUGGAACAUGCAUAUUAAGAGGAAGUUGUUUAGCCAUGGAGUUGAUCUCUCCACCCACCGACUGAUCCAUGAGCCAAGAGUAGUCGCACCGGUGCCCGUACCUUGGAGUUGUGCAUCAGCCCACCUUCUUACGAGCAGCCAACUGAGCCAUUGAAGAGAGGGAGGAGCCUUUGCUUUGCAUGUAGCUUGGGUUUGCAAAAGGGCAAGGAUUGUAGCUAUAGUGGAUUCCUAGGACUCAAGAUGGGAAUUGUUGGAUUAUAGAAGCCUGGCAAUGAAAUGAGGUUGGAUUGAAAUUGGAAAUUUAAAUGUGUACUAGAUUACAUAUCUCACUGUGUAAUUAUCUAGCAUAUAAUACAAGUAGAUUACAUA